rnacentral:rRNA from 1 species
UACAGCGAAACUGCGAAUGGCUCAUUAUAUAAGUUAUCGUUUAUUUGAUAGUACCUUACUACUUGGAUAACCGUGGUAAUUCUAGAGCUAAUACAUGCUAAAAAUCCCGACUUCGGAAGGGAUGUAUUUAUUAGAUUAAAAACCAAUGCCCCCCGGGGCUCUCUGGUGAUUCAUGAUAACUUCUCGAAUCGCAUGGCCUUGCGCCGGCGAUGGUUCAUUCAAAUUUCUUCCCUAUCAACUUUCGAUGUUUGGGUAGUGGCCAAACAUGGUUGCAACGGGUAACGGAGGGUUAGGGCUCGACCCCGGAGAAGGAGCCUGAGAAACGGCUACUACAUCCAAGGAAGGCAGCAGGCGCGCAAAUUACCCAAUCCCGAUUCGGGGAGGUAGUGACAAUAAAUACUGAUACAGGGCUCUUUUGGGUCUUGUAAUUGGAAUGAGUACAAUUUAAAUCCCUUAACGAGGAACAAUUGGAGGGCAAGUCUGGUGCCAGCAGCCGCGGUAAUUCCAGCUCCAAUAGCGUAUAUUAAAGUUGUUGUGGUUAAAAAGCUCGUAGUUGAACCUUGGGCCUGGUUGGCCGGUCCGCCUCACCGCGUGUACUGGUCCGGCCGGGCCUUUCCCUCUGUGGAACCCCAUGCCCUUCACUGGGUGUGGCGGGGAAACAGGACUUUUACUUUGAAAAAAUUAGAGUGCUCCAGGCAGGCCUAUGCUCGAAUACAUUAGCAUGGAAUAAUAAAAUAGGACGUGCGGUUCUAUUUUGUUGGUUUCUAGGACCGCCGUAAUGAUUAAUAGGGACAGUCGGGGGCAUCAGUAUUCAAUUGUCAGAGGUGAAAUUCUUGGAUUUAUUGAAGACUAACUACUGCGAAAGCAUUUGCCAAGGAUGUUUUCAUUAAUCAGGAACGAAAGUUAGGGGAUCGAAGACGAUCAGAUACCGUCGUAGUCUUAACCAUAAACUAUGCCGACUAGGGAUCGGACGAUGUUAUUUUUUGACUCGUUCGGCACCUUACGAGAAAUCA